UACGAGGGGGGCAAGCGUUGUUCGGAAUUAUUGGGCGUAAAGGGCGCGUAGGCGGUGCGGUAAGUCUGAUGUUAAAGCCCGAGGCUCAACCUCGGUUCGCAUUGGAAACUGUGUAGCUUGAGUGCAGAAGAGGAAAGCGGUAUUCCACGUGUAGCGGUGAAAUGCGUAGAGAUGUGGAGGAACACCAGUGGCGAAGGCGGCUUUCUGGUCUGUAACUGACGCUGAGGCGCGAAAGCGUGGGGAGCAAACAGG
rnacentral:rRNA from 1 species